rnacentral:rRNA from 1 species
AUUGAACGCUGGCAGCAUGCCUUACACAUGCAAGUCGAACGGUAACGGGUCCUUCGGGAUGCCGACGAGUGGCGAACGGGUGAGUAAUAUAUCGGAACGUGCCCAGUAGUGGGGGAUAACUGCUCGAAAGAGCAGCUAAUACCGCAUACGACCUGAGGGUGAAAGGGGGGGAUCGCAAGACCUCUCGCUAUUGGAGCGGCCGAUAUCAGAUUAGCUAGUUGGUGGGGUAAAGGCCUACCAAGGCAACGAUCUGGAGUUUGUCUGAGAGGACGACCAGCCACACUUGGAAUGAGACAAGGCCCAGACUCCCACGGGAGGCAGGAGUGGGGAAUUUUGGACAAUGGGCGCAAGCCUGAUCCAGGAAUGGCGCGUGCAGGAAGAAGGCCUUCGGGGUGUAAACUGCUUUUGUCAGGGAAGAAAUCUUCUGGGCUAAUACCCCGGGAGGAUGACGGUACCUGAAGAAUAAGCACCGGCUAACUACGUGCCAGCCGCCGCCGUAA